GAUGAACGCUGGCGGCGUGCCUAAUACAUGCAAGUCGAGCGAACAGAUGAGGAGCUUGCUCCUCUGACGUUAGCGGCGGACGGGUGAGUAACACGUGGAUAACCUACCUAUAAGACUGGGAUAACUUCGGGAAACCGGAGCUAAUACCGGAUAAUAUAUUGAACCGCAUGGUUCAAUAGUGAAAGACGGUUUUGCUGUCACUUAUAGAUGGAUCCGCGCCGCAUUAGCUAGUUGGUAAGGUAACGGCUUACCAAGGCAACGAUGCGUAGCCGACCUGAGAGGGUGAUCGGCCACACUGGAACUGAGACACGGUCCAGACUACUACGGGAGGCAGCAGUAGGAAUCGUCCGCAAUGGGCGAAAGCCUGACGGAGCAACGCCGCGUGAGUGAUGAAGGUCUUCGGAUCGUAAAACUCUGUUAUUAGGGAAGAACAAAUGUGUAAGUAACUAUGCACGUCUUGACGGUACCUAAUCAGAAAGCCACGGCUAACUACGUG
rnacentral:rRNA from 1 species